rnacentral:rRNA from 1 species
GCUUUUGGAUGGACCCGCGGCGUAUUAGCUAGUUGGUGAGGUAACGGCUCACCAAGGCAAUGAUACGUAGCCGAACUGAGAGGUUGAUCGGCCACAUUGGGACUGAGACACGGCCCAAACUCCUACGGGAGGCAGCAGUAGGGAAUCUUCCACAAUGGACGCAAGUCUGAUGGAGCAACGCCGCGUGAGUGAAGAAGGCUUUCGGGUCGUAAAACUCUGUUGUUGGAGAAGAAUGGUCGGCAGAGUAACUGUUGUCGGCGUGACGGUAUCCAACCAGAAAGCCACGGCUAACUACGUGCCAGCAGCCGCGGUAAUACGUAGGUGGCAAGCGUUAUCCGGAUUUAUUGGGCGUAAAGCGAGCGCAGGCGGUUUUUUAAGUCUGAUGUGAAAGCCCUCGGCUUAACCGAGGAAGUGCAUCGGAAACUGGGAAACUUGAGUGCAGAAGAGGACAGUGGAACUCCAUGUGUAGCGGUGAAAUGCGUAGAUAUAUGGAAGAACACCAGUGGCGAAGGCGGCUGUCUGGUCUGUAACUGACGCUGAGGCUCGAAAGCAUGGGUAGCGAACAGGAUUAGAUACCCUGGUAGUCCAUGCCGUAAACGAUGAAUGCUAGGUGUUGGAGGGUUUCCGCCCUUCAGUGCCGCAGCUAACGCAUUAAGCAUUCCGCCUGGGGAGUACGACCGCAAGGUUGAAACUCAAAGGAAUUGACGGGGGCCCGCACAAGCGGUGGAGCAUGUGGUUUAAUUCGAAGCAACGCGAAGAACCUUACCAGGUCUUGACAUCUUUUUUCACCUGAGAGAUCAGGUUUCCCCUUCGGGGGCAAAAUGACAGG